ensembl:misc_RNA Metazoa_SRP Metazoan signal recognition particle RNA
GCCGGGCGCGGUGGCGCGUGCCUGUAGUCCCAGCUACCCGGGAGGCUGAGGUGGGAGGAUCGCUUGAGCCCAGGAGUUCUGGGCUGUAGUGCGCUAUGCCGAUCGGGUGUCCGCACUAAGUUCGGCAUCAAUAUGGUGACCUCCCGGGAGCGGGGGACCACCAGGUUGCCUAAGGAGGGGUGAACCGGCCCAGGUCGGAAACGGAGCAGGUCAAAACUCCCGUGCUGAUCAGUAGUGGGAUCGCGCCUGUGAAUAGCCACUGCACUCCAGCCUGAGCAACAUAGCGAGACCCCGUCUCUU